rnacentral:piRNA from 1 species
UGUUAUUAUUAUUUUACUUGAAACAGGGUC